rnacentral:lncRNA from 1 species
CCGUCCCUCGCCGUCCUUCGCCAUCGCACGCCACCGCACCCCAUCUCUCGAAAUCUGCAGACAUCUUGAUUUUUCCCACGCUGUCUGUCAGGUCUCCGCCGCCACUCGACGCCAGGGCGCCGGGCCUUGUGGGCUGUGCUGCACCUCGGACGGCUUCGCACCAGCCAGCGCCCUCUCUCUCCUGCAGCACUCUGAUCUGCACCCCCUGAGGGGCUUCCACUGUCCGCGGGGUGAGAAUGCCCCUGGGAGUGUCACAUGACUGCCGCCCCAUGUGUGUGAGAGGCGUCCUCUGGGAGAGCAUGGAUCCUGAGGUCCCAGGAUUGUCAGCUGACCUCUGUCCUGUGUGCCCAGUGGCCCCAGGUGACGUGUCUUCAAGAAGAGGCUGAGCUGCGGUGCUUGUAAGGCAGGGUCUCAUUCUGUCACCCAGGCUGGAGUGCAGUGGUGCAAUGAUGGCUCACUGCAGCCUCGACCUGGGCUCAAGUGAUCCUCCACCUCAGCUUCCUGAGUAGCUGGGACCACAGGUCUCAGCCUUAGAUCCAAGGACAGUCCAAGGAAGUCCUAAGACCAUGGAGUUGGUGAUCUGGGAUCUGGGUUUGCUGAUAUUUCUCACCGUGAAUCUCUUGGUGGUGUUUGUGGGCACGAGAGGGGCAGAGAAUGGAGAGUGAGGCUACCACAUGAAGCGUCACCAGAGCUGCUCCCUGCUGCCUGCUCAGAGCACCCCGGAUCCACUGUUCAAUCUGCACAAGAUUCGGGGUCCAGACAUGGGAGACUUCAGCUGCCUCAGAGGACCGUGGACAGGGAAGGCCAGCCUCGCAUCCCUCUGUCCAUGCCUGGAAUGACUUUAAUAACCAAGAGUUUUAUUUUUGAAUUUGUAGCUGUCGUUCACUUUUUACCCACCCAUUCAAUAAACCUUACAGAAUUGC